AUGGCACUGUAUAUUGAUUCAGAGUCUAACAGCAUAUCUGUGCUCCAGCAGCCUGUGUCUGAGUCAGUCCAGCCAGGAGGCUCUGUGACUCUGAACUGUACAAUACACACUGAGACCUGUGUAGGAGACCACAGUGUCUAUUGGUUCAGACAUGGCUCAGGAGAAUCCCAUCCAGGAAUCAUUUACACCCAUGGAGACAAGAGUGAUCAGUGUGGGAAGAGCCCUGAGGCUGGGUCUCCUACACAGAGAUGUGUCUACAACCUCCCCAAGAGGAACCUCAGCCUCUCUGAUGCUGGGACUUACUACUGUGCUGUGGCCCCAUGUGGGGAGAUACUCUUUGGGAACGGGACCAAGUUGGACAUUGAGGGUAUAUGA